rnacentral:tRNA from 1 species
GAGGGUGUAGCUCAGUGGUAGAGCUCUUGCCUGGCAUAUUCAAGGCCCUGGGUUCAAUCCCUAGCACCAUAA